rnacentral:rRNA from 1 species
GACGAACGCUGGCGGCGUGCCUAAUACAUGCAAGUCGAACGGACAGGCCCUUCGGUGUACACGAGUGGCGAACGGGUGGGUAACACGUUAGUAAUGUGCUAUCGUCUCUGGGAUAACAGCCGGACAUGGUUGCUCAUACCCGAAAUACACAUGUUCUUGUGAGGCGGUUUGUUCAAAACUUUUGCGGGCUUUGACUGACACGCGGGCUAUCAGCUUGUUGGUGGAGUAAAGGCCUACCAAGACUUCGACGGGUAGCCGGCCUGGGAGGGCCGCCCGGCGCAAGGCUACUGAGGUACGGCCCAGACGCCAACGGGAGGCAACAGGCGGGAGUUUUACGCAGUGGGCGGAAGCCAGAGGCAGCAAUGCCGCGUGCGGGAAGACGUGCUACGGGUGGUGAACCACUUUGUGUGUGGACGAGGAGGAAGUGACGGUACCUACACAGGAAGCAACGGCUAACUACGUG